rnacentral:tRNA from 1 species
GGAGGUUUUAGCUUAAUUAAAGUGUCUGAGUUGCAGUCAGAAGUUGUAUUGUUUAUUUUACAAGCCUU